AAGUUACUGGUCGUAAGGGAAAUAAAGU
rnacentral:piRNA from 1 species